GACGAACGCUGGCGGCGUGCCUAAUACAUGCAAGUAGAACGCUGAAGGAGGAGCUUGCUUCUCUGGAUGAGUUGCGAACGGGUGAGUAACGCGUAGGUAACCUGCCUGGUAGCGGGGGAUAACUAUUGGAAACGAUAGCUAAUACCGCAUAAGAGUAGAUGUUGCAUGACAUUUGCUUAAAAGGUGCAAUUGCAUCACUACCAGAUGGACCUGCGUUGUAUUAGCUAGUUGGUGGGGUAACGGCUUACCAAGGCGACGAUACAUAGCCGACCUGAGAGGGUGAUCGGCCACACUGGGACUGAGACACGGCCCAGACUCCUACGGGAGGCAGCAGUAGGGAAUCUUCGGCAAUGGACGGAAGUCUGACCGAGCAACGCCGCGUGAGUGAAGAAGGGUGUCGGAUCGUAAAGCUCGGUUGUAAGAGAAGAACGAGUGUGAGAGUGGAAAGUUCACACUGUGACGGUAUCUUACCAGAAAGGGACGGCUAACUACGUG
rnacentral:rRNA from 1 species